rnacentral:lncRNA from 1 species
GCGAAAAGCCUUGCAGCAGCUACAAGAAGAAUUGCAGAAUAAGAGCCAACAGCUUCGUGCCUGGGAGGCUGAAAAAUACAAUGAGAUUCGAACCCAGGAACAAAACAUCCAGCACCUAAACCAUAGUCUGAGUCACAAGGAGCAGUUGCUUCAGGAAUUUCGGGAGCUCCUACGGUAUCGAGAUAACUCAGACAAAACCCUUGAAGCAAAUGAAACGUUGCUUGAGAAACUUCGCCAGCGAAUACAUGAUAAAGCUGUUGCUCUGGAGAGCACUCCCAGGAGAUGGAAAGCCUGAGGGAGGCUCUGCUGUCCUCUCGAUCCCACCUUCAAGAGCUGGAAGAGGAGCUGGAGCACCAGAAGGUGGAAAGGCAGCAGCUUUUGGAAGACUUGAGGGAGAAGCAGUAAGAGGUCUUGCGUUUAAGGGAGGAACGUCUUUCCCUCCAGGAAAACGACUCCAGCUUACAGCCUGGAUGUCUGUCACCAAAUCCCUUUGAGCAGUGACCUGAACCACCUGGUGGCAGAGGUAUGAGCUCUGAGAGGGCAGCUGGAGAAGAGCAUUCAGGGGAACAAUUGUCUGUGACUGCAGCUGCAACAGCAGCUGGAUAGCCUGCUGGCAAAGCCAGCCUCAGCCCCUCCUCUGUUAACCAGAACUUCCCAGCCAGCGCUGACCCUGGAAACAAGCAGCUGCUCCUCCAAGGUGCUAGGCAGCAAAGGCAUUCAUGAGCUUCGGAGCAGCACCAGUGCCCUGCACCAUGCCCUAGAGGAGUCGGCUUCCCUCCUCACCAUGUUCUGGAGAGCGGCCCUGCCAAGCACCCACAUCCCUGUGCUGCCUGGCAAAGUGGUCCCGUGGUCAAAUGAUCACAGAAUGCCCCAUGAGACUGAGCCUUUUUAGCCACUGCCUGGAAUCCCAACAUACAACUUAAGCUGGCAUCGCUGGACCAGGCCUGGGGAAAGUCAG